AGUGAACGCUGGCGGUAGGCCUAACACAUGCAAGUCGAACGGCAGCACAGUAAGAGCUUGCUCUUACGGGUGGCGAGUGGCGGACGGGUGAGGAAUACAUCGGCAUCUACUUUUUCGUGGGGGAUAACGUAGGGAAACUUACGCUAAUACCGCAUACGACCUACGGGUGAAAGCAGGGGAUCUUCGGACCUUGCGCGAUUGAAUGAGCCGAUGUCGGAUUAGCUAGUUGGCGGGGUAAAGGCCCACCAAGGCGACGAUCCGUAGCUGGUCUGAGAGGAUGAUCAGCCACACUGGAACUGAGACACGGUCCAGACUCCUACGGGAGGCAGCAGUGGGGAAUAUUGGACAAUGGGCGCAAGCCUGAUCCAGCCAUCCCGCGUGGGUGAAGAAGGCCUUCGGGUUGUAAAGCCCUUUUGUUGGGAAAGAAAAGCAGCAGAUUAAUACCCCGCUGUUCUGACGGUACCCAAAGAAUAAGCACCGGCUAACUUCGUG
rnacentral:rRNA from 1 species